UUUAGUUUCUACCAUUUUUUGCAGGCAAUUUUCUUCAUAUUUCGUCUGCAGAUUCAUUCCGCAGAGAACAUAAAUUUAUAACCCCAAAAAAGUAGGCGAAACUAAUCUCAUGUUUUAAUGGUGAAGACGAAAUCGAAGAGCUCCGCAAUGUGCCCAAAAAAGGGGAAAAGGUAUAGUAAUUCGGGAGAUACAAUAGACAGACAAGUGAAGGUUUGUUUAUGUGACUUGUCCAGUAUCAAGUUUGUUUUAUGCAAGGAGAUACAAUUCCUCAUCUUUAUGCAGCACGAACUAAGCAUAGGAAUGACCCAUUGUUAACAGAGUUGAAGCUUGCAAUGAUAGACGGAGUUUUGAAAAAGAGUAAAGAAAUGAAGGUUGCAAAGCAGUCUGGUGAAGAUAAUUCAGACACUUCGGUUGAUGUUGGAGGUCUACCGUCGCUGUUAUAAAAAAGACAAGGAACGAGAAGCGCAAAGCGGUGAUGGUGAAUUACAAGGAGUGGGUUGUCAGACGUCCAGAAGAUUAGUCGUCCUUGUUGAACGAGCAUCAAAAGCAGUGGCGACAUUAGGAUUUAAUUGUUUGUUGGAUCUUCCUAUCCAGGAUCUACCCGAGAAGCUUAACUACUGGGUGAUGGAUAGUUACAGACUUAUUUGUGCUUUGGUUUCGCAUUUGGUGUGGUAAAUUGAAUUCUUAGUGAUACAUUGGAGGUUUUGACGAAUGUUGUUGAUUAUUCUAGAUUAUUUAGUACAUUAUGAAAUUAUGAUGAAUGUGUGGUCA